GUUUUCAAACCUGGUUUCUCACUGGUGCAGCUCUGUCAAUCACCCUGCGUAAGCUCUGCCCUGCGUCCUGUUUUCUGAGUGUUAGAGCUACCGCAGGACCACUGGAUUCCUGGUGCUGCUGUGAUUUGCAACCACACGGAGCCUGUUGACAUCCUCCACAUCCUCUCCUUUCUCAGCUUAAGAGGGUCUCUCUCUGGGUCUUCUGAACUCAGUGUGACGAAUGAGGACUAUAAAAUGGAAGGAACGGGGGCAAUAAUCUCAUAGAAAGUUAUCAUCGGGAAUCCAAGUGCUGUUAUGGAUGGUACAAGUGGCCAAACUUUACAGUAAAAUAUUCCUGUUCUUGAAAAUAAAUGUUAAGGAG
rnacentral:lncRNA from 1 species